GGUGUGCUUUCCAAGCCGGGCGCCUUCAUCAAGUACAGUGAGACUUCCCUAUAGGUCCCACCUUGUGUUGCCUUCAGCACCCUGUGAUAUGAGUGGAAAUUGUGACAUUGCAGUGAGCCAGAGGGGCUGCUGAGCUUCUUUGAACAGCAUGACACAGGCUGGAUCAGGACUCCUUUCACAAAUGGAAGGGACUACUCAGCUGAGAAUGGGCAUAGCUGUAAAAUUAAGCAAAGAGCAAGAACAAGAAAUUGAAUACAGCUCCUGAGCAAAGGAACAGGGAGUUCGUGAUAGGUUAUCAGACAGUUUAGGAAGAAAUAAUUGGUUGCUACUGUGGAGAAGGGAUUGUUGCCCACUGGCACUUUAAAGUCA
rnacentral:lncRNA from 1 species